UGGGGAAUCUUGCGCAAUGGGCGAAAGCCUGACGCAGCCAUGCCGCGUGAAUGAUGAAGGUCUUAGGAUUGUAAAAUUCUUUCACCGGGGACGAUAAUGACGGUACCCGGAGAAGAAGCCCCGGCUAACUUCGUGCCAGCAGCCGCGGUAAUACGAAGGGGGCUAGCGUUGCUCGGAAUUACUGGGCGUAAAGGGCGCGUAAGCGGAUCGUUAAGUCAGAGGUGAAAUCCCAGGGCUCAACCCUGGAACUGCCUUUGAUACUGGCGAUCUUGAGUAUGAGAGAGGUAUGUGGAACUCCGAGUGUAGAGGUGAAAUUCGUAGAUAUUCGGAAGAACACCAGUGGCGAAGGCGACAUACUGGCUCAUUACUGACGCUGAGGCGCGAAAGCGUGGGGAGCAAACAGG
rnacentral:rRNA from 1 species